GACGAACGCUGGCGGCGUGCCUAAUACAUGCAAGUCGAACGCUUUUUCUUUCACCGGAGCUUGCUCCACCGAAAGAAAAAGAGUGGCGAACGGGUGAGUAACACGUGGGUAACCUGCCCAUCAGAAGGGGAUAACACUUGGAAACAGGUGCUAAUACCGUAUAACACUAUUUUCCGCAUGGGAGAAAGUUGAAAGGCGCUUUUGCGUCACUGAUGGAUGGACCCGCGGUGCAUUAGCUAGUUGGUGAGGUAACGGCUCACCAAGGCAACGAUGCAUAGCCGACCUGGGAGGGGGAUCGGCCACACUGGGACUGGGACACAGCCCAGACUCCUACGGGAGGCAGCAGUAGGGAAUCAUCGGCAAUGGACGAAAGUCUGACCGAGCAACGCCGCGUGAGUGAAGAAGGUUUUCGGAUCGUAAAACUCUGUUGUUAGAGAAGAACAAGGAUGAGAGUAAAAUGUUCAUCCCUUGACGGUAUCUAACCAGAAAGCCACGGCUAACUACGUACCAGCCGCCGCGGUAA
rnacentral:rRNA from 1 species